rnacentral:lncRNA from 1 species
UUCCUCCACGUACCCCAUUCCCGAAACGACAUAACGUAGGGAAAUGUCGAUUAAAUCUACCUGAUCAUCCCAUCACGCUAACACACACCUGUUACAAAUCCAAUUACUCCUCCAUUAUACGCCUCUCCGAACACACGCAUCGGUUCCUGAUUAACAAAAAUCCAAGUAUAUCUUCCACAAAACGGAUUGCAAUUAUUAACCGACGAACACACAAUUUCCCAAAUUCUUCACCGCAAAUAUUCAGAAUACCAAGUCAAAUAAGAACGACAUCAUUCACCCUUAGGCCAUCAUCAUCUUCCCACUGGUAUGUUUUCUACAUUAACCCUAAUAUGAUUUCAAUUAUUUCCUACUUUUUACCGUCAAUCUGUCGAUGUAUUUUAUUCUCCUGUUAAAAUCUAUUUGACUGUUGUGUUUCCUCCGAUCUCCAUUUGGUGAAAUAUCCGUUCAGGUAUUAUUUUGAUUCUCGAGAGUUUACAUGUUUUUCAGUUGUAAUUAUCAUGAACGACUGCAAUAAGGGAAAAUAUUGCUCAGAAUUUGUUCCAUUGGUUGCUUUUACAUUGUAUACCCUUGAGAUUCAUAUAUAUAAAAGUGCAGAAUUUUUACCAAAAAUGCAUAUCAUAUUGCAUUAUUUUUUUCCCUUUUUGUUUUCAAUCGUGAAAAGUGGAAUUGAAAUUCCUUCAAACAAAUAUAUGAGAGAUUACAUUCCAUAUAUCUUGAUAUCCACAUUAAUUUCAAAUUAUGUGGUCUAUUUAAAUCCUCCCACUUUUGACAGCAUUCAAGAAGGAAAAUAAGUAAUCAUAUUGUAGAAAUUACUGCAGUUUUCCUCAAAUGCCUGAAAAUUUUCUAGCAGACAAAGAAUUUGAAUUUAGUAGUAGGUAAAUAACAUGAAAAUUUUACUUAGAUGAUAAAGUUUUAAUUUUUGAUACAAGAUUCUUAGCUAUAUUUAGAGAACUAUUAGGAAAUCUCAUCUAUCUACCACUAUCAUAUUUAAAAGUAAAUAACUUGAAGAAAAUAUCAUAUUUGACGACUAUUCUCUUGUUUUCCCGACUAGAAGCGAGGGUUUAGGUUUCAUAAUUCUGCAAUUUAAUUUUCAUAGCUAGGUAACG